GAUGAACGCUGGCGGCGUGCCUAAUACAUGCAAGUCGAGCGAACAGACGAGGAGCUUGCUCCUCUCACGUUAGCGGCGCACGGGUGAGUAACACGUGUAUCCCCUACCUAUAAUUCUGGGAUAACUUCGGGAAACCGGAUCUAAUCCCGUAUAAUAUAUUGAUCCGCAUGGUUCAAUAGUGAAAGACGGCUUUGCUGUCACUUAUAGCUGGAUCCCCGCCGCUUUAGCUAGUUGGUACGGUAACGGCUUUCCACGGGCACGAUGCGUAGACGACCUGAGAGGGUGAUCGCCCACACUGGAACUGAGACACGGUCCAGACUCCUACGGGACGGAGCAGUAGGGAAUCGGAGGCAAUGGGCGAAAGCCUGACGGAGCGAGGCCGAGUGAGUGACGAAGGUCUUCGGAGCGGAAAAAUCUGUUACGAGGGGAGAACAAAUGUGUCAGGAAAUAAGCACGUAUUGACGGUACCUAAUAAGAAAGCAACGGCUAACUACGUG
rnacentral:rRNA from 1 species